rnacentral:rRNA from 1 species
UACGUAGGGUGCGAGCGUUGUCCGGAAUUACUGGGCGUAAAGAGCUUGUAGGCGGUUUGUCGCGUCUGCCGUGAAAAUUCGAGGCUCAACCUCGAACUUGCGGUGGGUACGGGCAGACUAGAGUGUGGUAGGGGAGACUGGAAUUCCUGGUGUAGCGGUGAAAUGCGCAGAUAUCAGGAGGAACACCGAUGGCGAAGGCGGGUCUCGUGGGCAGUAACUGACGCUCAGGCACGAAAGCGUGGGGAGCAAAAGGG